rnacentral:sRNA from 1 species
CUGACAGUUUCGGAGACUGGAGUAUUAUUUCUCCCAAGAAUGUGAAUUGCACAGCCCUAAUACAGUACAAGUAAUUGCUUCAUCAAUGUUCUUCAAUCCUAACCCUAAGGGACCAUCUGUAAGGGUGAGAGAAUAGUUCAGUCUUCCUACUAAAUGCCUGGCCUCA